CAGGGCGCGGCUGAGACAGUAAAGCAUCUCCCUUACACCGAGAAGACGUCCAUGCAAGUUGGACCACCCUGA
rnacentral:tRNA from 1 species